CAUCUUGCCCGCAGCGCCGUGUUCUUCCCGAGCACUGUUGCUCACCGAACCACAACCGGAUCGAAUCGAUCGAUUCUUGACCCGUAGGCCACGGUAUCUGAUCUAUAUAAGAUCCCAAACCCCUCCUCGCCCGAUUUUUUGCCAAACCGCCACCUUUCGUGCCCGUUACGCCUCGCCCAGAUCUCGCCGGAGUCCGCCGCCGCAGAAGCUUUCCGCCGAUUGAUUCCGUCGUGUUUGGAGACACCACAUCGAACCCUAGGACCUCAGCCCGAAGCUUCAUGGAGGCAGCUCCGCUCCAGCCGGUCAUUGUCACCACAGGAGCAAGCCCCAAUCGUCUCCGAGGUCACCUAAUUCAUCUCUGUGGCGUUAUGAACCCGUUGGUGAUUUCUACAUAGCCAGAGGGCCUCUGUAUCCGUCGCCCGCUUCAUCACCGAGCCGCUCGAGCCCUUCUUCUCCAACUCCGGCAGCCACGUUGUCUUUGUUCACCGGAUUUUCAGAUGAUCAGUGAGAUACAGUAGGGUCGCGAGUCUUCACUCAGCAUUUUUGCCAAUGGGCAUUGAUGAGAUUCAUCGUUUAUUAUGAUACCUUUCCGCUGUUAUUAUUGAAUAAAGUUAGCUAUGUGCUACUCUGUUUGUAAUACUUUAUGAAUUCUGGAUCAUACGUUAUAGUAAAUGAUGCACUUGUUA